rnacentral:rRNA from 1 species
UGGCUCAGGACGAACGCUGGCGGCGUGCCUAAUACAUGCAAGUCGAGCGGACCGACGGGAGCUUGCUCCCUUAGGUCAGCGGCGGACGGGUGAGUAACACGUGGGUAACCUGCCUGUAAGACUGGGAUAACUCCGGGAAACCGGGGCUAAUACCGGAUGCUUGAUUGAACCGCAUGGUUCAAUUAUAAAAGGUGGCUUUUAGCUACCACUUACAGAUGGACCCGCGGCGCAUUAGCUAGUUGGUGAGGUAACGGCUCACCAAGGCAACGAUGCGUAGCCGACCUGAGAGGGUGAUCGGCCACACUGGGACUGAGACACGGCCCAGACUCCUACGGGAGGCAGCAGUAGGGAAUCUUCCGCAAUGGACGAAAGUCUGACGGAGCAACGCCGCGUGAGUGAUGAAGGUUUUCGGAUCGUAAAACUCUGUUGUUAGGGAAGAACAAGUACCGUUCGAAUAGGGCGGUACCUUGACGGUACCUAACCAGAAAGCCACGGCUAACUACGUGCCAGCAGCCGCGGUAAUACGUAGGUGGCAAGCGUUGUCCGGAAUUAUUGGGCGUAAAGCGCGCGCAGGCGGUUUCUUAAGUCUGAUGUGAAAGCCCCCGGCUCAACCGGGGAGGGUCAUUGGAAACUGGGGAACUUGAGUGCAGAAGAGGAGAGUGGAAUUCCACGUGUAGCGGUGAAAUGCGUAGAGAUGUGGAGGAACACCAGUGGCGAAGGCGACUCUCUGGUCUGUAACUGACGCUGAGGCGCGAAAGCGUGGGGAGCGAACAGGAUUAGAUACCCUGGUAGUCCACGCCGUAAACGAUGAGUGCUAAGUGUUAGAGGGUUUCCGCCCUUUAGUGCUGCAGCAAACGCAUUAAGCACUCCGCCUGGGGAGUACGGUCGCAAGACUGAAACUCAAAGGAAUUGACGGGGGCCCGCACAAGCGGUGGAGCAUGUGGUUUAAUUCGAAGCAACGCGAAGAACCUUACCAGGUCUUGACAUCCUCUGACAACCCUAGAGAUAGGGCUUCCCCUUCGGGGGCAGAGUGACAGGUGGUGCAUGGUUGUCGUCAGCUCGUGUCGUGAGAUGUUGGGUUAAGUCCCGCAACGAGCGCAACCCUUGAUCUUAGUUGCCAGCAUUCAGUUGGGCACUCUAAGGUGACUGCCGGUGACAAACCGGAGGAAGGUGGGGAUGACGUCAAAUCAUCAUGCCCCUUAUGACCUGGGCUACACACGUGCU